rnacentral:rRNA from 1 species
UACGAAGGGGGCUAGCGUUGCUCGGAAUCACUGGGCGUAAAGCGCACGUAGGCGGAUUGCUAAGUCAGGGGUGAAAUCCUGGAGCUCAACUCCAGAACUGCCUUUGAUACUGGCAACCUUGAGUCCGGGAGAGGUGAGUGGAACUGCGAGUGUAGAGGUGAAAUUCGUAGAUAUUCGCAAGAACACCAGUGGCGAAGGCGGCUCACUGGCCCGGUACUGACGCUGAGGCACGAAAGCGUGGGGAGCAAACAGGG